rnacentral:sRNA from 1 species
UCAUUAGAAACAGGAGCAGAUGUACAGGGUUUGCCUGACUCACACUCAAGGUUGCAUAAGCAAGAUUUCAAAAUUAAUCCUAUUCUGGAGACCUCAACCCAAUGUACAAUGUUCCUGACUGGAAAAGAAGAACUAUAUUUUUCUGAUUUUUUUUUUCAAAUCUUUACCAUUAGUUGCCCUGUAUCUCCGCCUUCACUUUCUGCAGGAAACUUUAUUUCCUACUUCUGCAUACCAAGUUUCUACCUCUAGAUCUGUUUGGUUCAGUUGCUGAGAAGCCUGACAUACCAGGACUGCCUGAGACAAGCCACAAGCUGGAUGGAAUAAUUUCCACACAAUAAUGAGGAACAUUUUGGGGCUGGUCCUGCCACUGCUCAUCAUGGUCAUCUGCUACUCGGGAAUCCUGAAAACCCUGCUUCGGUGUCGAAACGAGAAGAAGAGGCAUAGGGCAGUGAGAGUCAUCUUCACCAUCAUGAUUGUUUACUUUCUCUUCUGGACUCCCUAUAACAUUGUCAUUCUCCUGAACACCUUCCAGGAAUUCUUCGGCCUGAGUAACUGUGAAAGCACCAGUCAACUGGACCAAGCCACGCAGGUGACAGAGACUCUUGGGAUGACUCACUGCUGCAUCAAUCCCAUCAUCUAUGCCUUCGUUGGGGAGAAGUUCAGAAGGUAUCUCUCGGUGUUUUUCCGAAAGCACAUCACCAAGCGCUUCUGUAAACAAUGUCCAGUUUUCUACAGGGAGACAGCGGAUGGAGUGACUUCAACAAACACGCCUUCCACUGGGGAGCAGGAAGUCUCGGCUGGUUUAUAAAACGAGGAGCAGUUUGAUUGUUGUUUAUAAAGGGAGAUAACAAUCUGUAUAUAACAACAAACUUCAAGGGUUUGUUGA